rnacentral:rRNA from 1 species
UAAGGAAUAUUGGUCAAUGGAGGAAACUCUGAACCAGCCAUGCCGCGUGGAGGAUGAAGGUCCUCUGGAUUGUAAACUUCUUUUAUAUGGGACGAAAAAGGGACUUUCUAGUUCAACUGACGGUACCAUAUGAAUAAGCACCGGCUAACUCCGUGCCAGCAGCCGCGGUAAUACGGAGGGUGCAAGCGUUAUCCGGAUUCACUGGGUUUAAAGGGAGCGUAGGUGGGUUGGUAAGUCAGAGGUGAAAUCUCCGAGCUUAACUCGGAAACUGCCUUUGAUACUAUCAGUCUUGAAUAUUGUGGAGGUUAGCGGAAUAUGUCAUGUAGCGGUGAAAUGCUUAGAUAUGACAUAGAACACCAAUUGCGAAGGCAGCUGGCUACACAUAUAUUGACACUGAGGCUCGAAAGCGUGGGGAUCAAACA